GUAAAAAUUGAUUCAGACAUUUUUUUACCAAAUGGAUUACACGCCAGCCUAGCUGUCACUAUUCAGUAUUCACUUCCCGGUUUCCAAGCGAAACUGAAACACAUAACUUAACCACUGAAACACACCUCUGUUAAUUAUCUCAUCCGCUUCGUCAUGACGGCGACACCACCGUCAAAGCCACUAACACAUCACGACUGGGAAACCCUAAUUGAAAAUUUCCAAUCCGCCACCGGAAUCGAAAAAUGGAACUCUCUAGAUCCACCUCUCUCCGAUCAUCUCUUAACCUCUCUUCUCCGCAAAGACUUACAUCUUCAACUAAAAUUCCAACUCCUCAUCUUCCUCGACGAAUUCUCCAUUUCAAUCUUCCCUCACAAAAAUCUCAACCGUCUCAUCGAAUCUCUCAAAACCGUUAUUCAAUCACCUCCCGACCCCGUUCACAUCACUCCGUUGUUCAAGGAACAGUUCAUCAUUUCCGUUACCUCCGUUAUCGUUUGUUUCUCCGAUGACGAAAAUGAUAUUCAUACGGUAACGGAGAGUUUGGUUGAAGUUCUGUUGACGGUUAUUAACCGUCCGAAUUUCGGUUCUGAUCGUCACACACGCGCCAUCGCGUGUGAGUGUUUGAGAGAAUUGGAACGAUCUAAACCGUGUUUACUUUCCGAUGUGGUUGGACAUUUGUGGAGUCUUUGCCAGAAUGAACGAACACACGCUUCACAAUCUUAUAUCUUGCUUUUCACAAUGGUGAUUCAUAACAUUGUUGAUAAGAAACUUAGUGUUUCGAUUCUCAAUACAUCGCUUCCAAUGCUUCCUUUUAAUACACCGCAAUGCGUGAAUCAAGAGGAUUUUGGUUCGGAUUCGGGUUUGAAUACGAAAGAAUUGAGGAGAGCUUUGGCGUUUUUGUUGGAGUGGCCACAAGUGUUGACACCAUGUGGAAUGAUGGAGUUUGUUUCUAUGGUCAUACCUGUGGUAGUGGCUUUGGAAUUGCAACCUUCAAUGCUUAGGGUUCAAUUGUUUGGUAUGAUUCAUUCUUAUGAUCCUCUUCUUUGUCAUGUUGUUUUGGCUAUGUUUAUGCGUUUUAUAGAUGCUUUUGAUGGUCAAGAAGGCGAGGUUUCCAGUAGACUCUUGUUGAUUUCGAGAGAAGCUCAUCAUUAUUUGGUGUUUCGGUUGUUGGCGAUUCAUUGGCUGUUGGGUUUCAAUCAAUUAGUUUUUAGUAAACAAUCGCGUAUUGAGAAGAAUAUUGAGAAUGGAAAUGAAGCUUGUUCCACUUUUUAUCCUUCUUUGUUUGAUCCGUUGGCUUUGAAAGCAUUGAAGCUUGACCUUCUUGCUUCUAGCUCUGUCUUGAGACUCAAAAGUGAUUCGGAUUAUAAUUCUAGUUCCCGUGAUGGUGAUGAUGGUUUGGUUGAUACCGUGAAGGUGUUUGAACAGGGUCUCCUUGCUGUAUCAUCUUUCAAAUGGUUGCCUCCGGGGAGCACGGAGAUUGCAAUUGCGUUUCGUACUUUUCACAAGUUUCUCAUUGCUGGUUCGUCUCAUUCUGAUAGUGAUCCUUCCACAACAAGAAAUCUUUUGGACUCUAUGAUAUUUCGUACUUUACAGGUGAUGCUUGUGAACAUGAUGUUGGAGAGUCGGAGAUUGGUUCCUGUUGUUGCUGCUUUUGUGGACCGUUUAGUAUCCUGUAAGAAGCAUUCUUGGUUGGGCGAGCGCUUACUUCAGAAAUUUGAUGCACACUUACUUCCAAAAGUGAAAAUGGAUUAUAAGUUGGUUUAUUGCUUCCCAAUAUUUGAUAGAAUUGCUGAGAAUCAGACAAUACCUCCAUGUGGAUUGUUAGAGCUACUCACAAACUUUAUGAUUUUCCUUGUGGAGAAACAUGGCCCGGAUACGAUGAUGAAAUCUUGGUCCCAAGGAAGUAGAGCUCUUGGAAUUUGUCGAACUAUGUUGGUACACCACCAUAGUUCUAGAUUGUUCCUUAGACUAUCCCGUCUACUUGCUUUCACCUGUCUCUAUUUUCCUGAUUUGGAAGUCCGUGAUAAUUCAAGGACCUACUUACGUAUGCUGGUCUGCAUUCCAGGAAAGAAGCUUAGAGAUAUCCUGAGCCUGGGAGGCACGAUGCUUGGGAUUUCACCUUCUUCACACCAAACCUCUUUCUUCAAUGUUCAGUCACCACGACCUUCUCAGAGAUUCAAGACAUUUAUAAACCUAGCAUCCUGCAUUCACUUUGAGCGUCUGACCCCAUUGCUUGUUAAGCAGUUUUGGUCUUUGUCUUUAUCAAGUUUAGUUGUGAGUAAUAGCAAGCCUGCUUAUCUGGGUGGCAUCAGGGACCUUGAAGCUCCUAUCGAGGAAAAGGAAUUUUCUGACAGUUCCAAUUCACCGGUCAUUCCUGAAACUGGAAGAACAAACCAAUCACAUGAGCCACUCCGUGUUAUGGACUCUAACAUUGCAGAAAUUUUGAACACGUUAAGGAAGUACUUUUCCUGUAUUCCUGACUUCAGAUAUAUGGCAGGACUCAAAGUUAGCAUAUCGUGCAGUUUGAGAUUUGAAUCUAAUACUUUCAAUCGCAUGUUGGGAAUCAAUAACACUGCCACAGCCCAGGAUGAGAUAGAUGCACUUCCCGCUAUAUAUGCUACUGUAUUACAUUUUUCCUCUUCUGCGCCAUAUGGAUCAAUCCCAUCCUAUCAUAUACCUUUCCUUCUUGCUGAACCUCACAGUAAAGAUCAUGCAUCUCAAAAUGCCUCCCUCAGUAUUGUUCCUCUCGGAAAGGAGGAUUCUCGAGAAGAGGAAAAACAUAGAGCUACUGUUGUGAUUGAUUUGGAGCCCAGAGAACCAACACCAGGUAUAGUUGAUGUUCACAUCGAAACAAAUGCAGAAAAUGGUCAGAUCAUCCAAGGUCAACUUCAGGGAAUCACAGUAGGCAUAGAAGACAUGUUUCUUAAGGCCAUUGUUCCAUCAGAUAUCCAAGAAGACGCAAGACCUCAGUACAACUUUGACUUGUUCACUGCUUUAUGGGAGGCAUGUGGCUCAUCCUCUAGCACUGGGCGGGAAACCUUUCAAUUGAAAGGGGGAAAAGGGAUUGCUGCCAUAAGUGGAACGCAAUCUGUCAAGCUUCUUGACGUCCCCGCGAACUCUUUGAUCCAGGCAACUGAGCGCCAUCUGGCACGUUUUGUUGUAGGUGUGAGUGGGGAGCCACUUAUCGAUGCUGUAUGGGAAGGGGGGAUCAUUCAGAAUGUCAUUUGGGAAGAUGCUUCCCCUGAUGCCACUCCAGUUACAAAUAGUGAUAUGGGCCCUCUCCGUCUUACAUACAAUAAUGAAGAGUAUGAAAAGGGGGGAAUUAUCAAUAGCAGGCAAAAAAAUCUGGGCAUUUUUCUUGUUCUAAUAUUCCUUCCACCGCGGUUCCAUCUCCUUUUCCAGAUGGAAGUUGGCGAUGUUUCAACUUUAGUUCGUAUUCGCACAGAUCAUUGGCCUAGCUUGGCCUACAUUGAUGAUUAUCUAGAAGCUUUAUAUCUAUCAUAACAGCUGUUGUUUCAUCUACAUUGAUGACUGUAUAAAGACUAACAAUCCUCGAUCAGCUUGUGAUAACGUGUCUUUUUUGUUCUUUUGCAAUGUACAGUUUGUAUGUGCCAUAUGUGGAAUGUGGCUUUGCUGUUCAAUACAAACACAUUUUUGCUCAUGUGCAUUUUAAGUUUCAUAUGGUGAUUACCAUGUAUGUGGAUUAAGAAAACCUUGGAGAGAAAAUGUUUGUUUAGUUGAUUGUUGGGGCUAUAACAUGACCAAAAGUUACAUGUUUAAUGGAAUGAUUCAAUCAAUCUCAGCUGGUUUUGUGUUUAACUGUGGAUUGUUUUCUAACAAUAGGAGUGAUUUCAGCUGCUGGUGGUGGAUAUCAUGUGUGUGGAAUCUUAGAAGGGAUAACUUUGCUAAAACAUGAUUAAUUGCGUGUGAUGCUGCUGCGCAGUGUGCUCACGAAACAAGGUUGCAACUUUAGGCCUACCAGUGAAUUUGUUGUUCAAGCAAAGUUGGGAAAGAUUGUUUUAUGAAAUUAUUGUGCGAGGGCAUUAAGUUAGGAGCCAAUAGUGGUCAUUAUUAUCAGACUUGGACCACUGAUAAAAAUAAGUCUUUUUCAUUUUAGAAGAUGACUCAAUAGCUUGUCCUUGAAUUAGGCUAUGUGCCUUACAAAGGAAACAAGGACAGUUACUUUCAUCUCUAAUCAUUUUCAAGCCAGCACAUGCUUGUGGUUAGUCUUUGUAAUUUGUAUUUUCUGGUAGUUUUGUAUCACAUGCUUAUCAGCUUAUGUGGCACGAAAGACGACAUUUCUUCAUUCCAUUUUGUUAUCCAUGCUGAAGGACCAAUCUGACGGUUAAUUAACAUAUAA